AUUUAGUACGAACACUUCUGUGCGCUCAUUGAGGCCGAUGCCGUUGAGGCGGAGAGUGUUUAAAUGCCGACAGAAAUCAAUGUGUUUUUAUAUACUGUAUUCAGAAGAAAAAUAUACAUGUUUUAAAAAGAUUUUGUGAAUUCCUGCUUUAUUAUUCAAAUAAAUAAGAUACAGAUAAAUAAGAAACAGAGAAAUACUUUGCGCAUGCAAACAACAAUUGAAGAGAUUUUGUUCAAUUAAAAUUACAAGUGCGAUUCGCUUAAACAAUGUGACGAAUUCCUUGUUCGCAAUUUC